AUCGCUAGUAAUCGCGGAUCAGCAUGUCGCGGUGAAUACGUUCCCGGGUCUUGUACACACCGCCCGUCACACCAUGGGAGCGGGUUUUACCAGAAGUAGGUAGCUUAACCGUAAGGAGGGCGCUUACCACGGUAGGAUUCGUGACUGGGGUGAAGUCGUAACAAGGUAGCCGUAUCGGAAGGUGCGGCUGGAUCACCUCCUUU
rnacentral:rRNA from 1 species